UACGAAGGGGGCUAGCGUUGUUCGGAAUCACUGGGCGUAAAGCGCUUGUAGGCGGAUCGUUAAGUCAGGGGUGAAAUCCCAGGGCUCAACCCUGGAACUGCCUUCUAGACUGCAAGCCUGGAGGUCAGGAGAGGCGAGUGGAAUACCGAGUGUAGAGGUGAAAAUUCGUAGAUAUUCGGUGGAACACCAGUGGCGAAGGCGACUCGCUGGACUGAUACUGACGCUGAGGUGCGAAAGCGUGGGGAGCGAUCCGG
rnacentral:rRNA from 1 species